AGUGAACGCUGGCGGUAGGCCUAACACAUGCAAGUCGAACGGCAGCACAGUAAGAGCUUGCUCUUACGGGUGGCGAGUGGCGGACGGGUGAGGAAUACAUCGGAAUCUACUUUUUCGUGGGGGAUAACGUAGGGAAACUUACGCUAAUACCGCAUACGACCUACGGGUGAAAGCAGGGGAUCUUCGGACCUUGCGCGAUUGAAUGAGCCGAUGUCGGAUUAGCUAGUUGGCGGGGUAAAGGCCCACCAAGGCGACGAUCCGUAGCUGGUCUGAGAGGAUGAUCAGCCACACUGGAACUGAGACACGGUCCAGACUCCUACGGGAGGCAGCAGUAGGGAAUAUUGGACAAUGGGCGCAAGCCUGAUCCAGCCAUACCGCGUGGGUGAAGAAGGCCUUCGGGUUGUAGAGCCCUUUUGUUGGGAAAGAAAAGCAGCAGGUUAAUACCCCGCUGUUCUGACGGUACCCAAAGAAUAAGCACCGGCUAACUUCGUG
rnacentral:rRNA from 1 species